CUUAGUAAUGGCGAAUGAAUGGGAUGAGCUCACCAUGGGAAUCGGGGUCCUCGACCUUGAAUUGUAGUCUUGAGACGCACUGCCAACAAAGGCGCAGGUGUAAGCCUCUUGGAAGAGAGCAUCGCAGAGGGUGAGAGUCCCGUCUGUCCCUGCAGCCCCUUGUGUACGGCAUGCGUUCUGAGAGUCACGUUCCUCGGGAUUGGAGCGCAAAUUGGGUGGUAAGUUUCCCUCAAGCUAAAUAUUGGUCCGAGACCGAUAGCAAACAAGUACCAUGAGGGAAAGGUGAAAAGGACUUUGAAAAGAGAGUUAAAAGUGCUUGAAUUGCUGAAAGGGAAGCGAAUGGAACCAGUUCUGCUGGGCGAGAUUGUCGCAUGCCAGGCCUCGUGCCGGCCGCAUGCGGUGCUUCUUGCCUUGUGUGUCAGCUGCGGUCCGAAGUCGGGGAAAACUCUGGGGACAUGGAUGCCAACCUCCGGGGGGUGAAUGUGCCUGGCAAGACCCGUCCUCGGACCGUGAGCAGUGCUUCGGCAUGUUUGCGGUGCUGACGAAAUGCUUCUAUUCGACCCGUCUUGAAACACGACCGAGGAGUCUAACAUGUGUGCGAGUUCACGGGUGUCAAACCUGCUUGCGCAAUGAAAGUGACUGCUGGGAUACUUGCACCAGCAACCGAUCUGUCAACCGAGAGAGAUUUGAUUUGAGCAUACCUGUUAGGACCCGAAAGAUGGUGAACUAUGCUUGUGUAGGGCAAAGCCAGGGGAAACUCUGGUGGAGGCUCGUAGCGAUACUGACGUGAAAUCGUUCGUCAAACAUGAGUAUAGGGGCGAAAGACUAAUCGAACCAUCUAGUAGCUGGUUCCCUCCGAAGUUUCCCUCAGGAUAGCUGGAGUU
rnacentral:rRNA from 1 species